CGUUUGACGUUAGCGACAGAAGAAAGCACCGGCUAACUCCGUGCCAGCAGCCGCGGUAAUACGGAGGGUGCGAGCGUUAAUCGGAAUUACUGGGCGUAAAGACGCAUGCAGGUGGUUUGUUAAGUCAGAUGUGAAAGACCCGGGGCGUCAACCUCGGAAUAGCAUUUGAAACUAGGCAGACUAGAGUACUGUAGAGGGGGGUAGGAAUUUCAGGUGUAGCGGUGAAAUGCGUAGAGAUCUGAAGGAAUACCGGUGGCGAAGGCGGCCCCCUCGGACAGAUACUGACACUCAGAUGCGAAAGCGUGGGGAGCAAACAGGAUUAGAUACCCCUGGUAG
rnacentral:rRNA from 1 species